rnacentral:lncRNA from 1 species
GUUAGAAAAUCAAAUUAGAUCCAAAUAUAAAUUAAAUCCUAGGAUCAACAUCAUGCUAAAUUACUAGGAUUCACAGAUUCAGAUAAUAUACCUGUAUCCAUUGUAAACGAUUGCCUACUGUUGCGGAAUUACUGCGACAAUCGACUACGUACCGAUGAAUGCAAAUGAAGAGGGUGGUUUUGUGAUCUUCCUCAACCAAAUCUCCUUAUUCCUCAAUGGGACCGUGAUUUCUCUUCUUGAUGGGGAGAAGGGAAAAGAGUGUAUGAUUUGGUAUAUUGGGGACCAUAACCAAAAUAACAUUUAUAUACUAUUUAAUUAAGGUUCCCAUUAUCCCUUAAUUAGAGUAAUAUUAGCCGGUAUCUACUCACUUAGUCCAUAUUAAUUUGAGUAGUCUAUGGGCAUACAAAAAAUAGACCACUUGAUUUU